rnacentral:rRNA from 1 species
GACUCUAAGCGGUGGAUCACUCGGUUCUCGUGUCGAUGAAGAACGCAGCCAGCUGCGAGACUUGGUGUGAAUUGCAGGGAACACUGAGCCCUGAUUCUUUGAACGCUCAUUGCGGCCUUGGGUCUUCCCUUGGCUUCGUCUCCCACACUGUAA